rnacentral:rRNA from 1 species
AUGACGAGUGGCGGACGGGUGAGUAAUGCUUGGGAACUUGCCUUUGCGAGGGGGAUAACAGUUGGAAACGACUGCUAAUACCGCAUAAUGUCUUCGGACCAAACGGGGCUUCGGCUCCGGCGCAAAGAGAGGCCCAAGUGAGAUUAGCUAGUUGGUAAGGUAACGGCUUACCAAGGCGACGAUCUCUAGCUGUUCUGAGAGGAAGAUCAGCCACACUGGGACUGAGACACGGCCCAGACUCCUACGGGAGGCAGCAGUGGGGAAUAUUGCACAAUGGGGGAAACCCUGAUGCAGCCAUGCCGCGUGUGUGAAGAAGGCCUUCGGGUUGUAAAGCACUUUCAGUUGUGAGGAAAAGUUAGUAGUUAAUACCUGCUAGCCGUGACGUUAACAACAGAAGAAGCACCGGCUAACUCCGUGCCAGCAGCCGCGGUAAUACGGAGGGUGCGAGCGUUAAUCGGAAUUACUGGGCGUAAAGCGCACGCAGGCGGUUUGUUAAGCUAGAUGUGAAAGCCCCGGGCUCAACCUGGGAUGGUCAUUUAGAACUGGCAGACUAGAGUCUUGGAGAGGGGAGUGGAAUUCCAGGUGUAGCGGUGAAAUGCGUAGAUAUCUGGAGGAACAUCAGUGGCGAAGGCGACUCCCUGGCCAAAGACUGACGCUCAUGUGCGAAAGUGUGGGUAGCGAACAGGAUUAGAUACCCUGGUAGUCCACACCGUAAACGCUGUCUACUAGCUGUGUGUGUCUUUAAGGCGUGCGUAGCGAAGCUAACGCGCUAAGUAGACCGCCUGGGGAGUACGGCCGCAAGGUUUAAAACUCAAUGAAUUUGACGGGGGCCCGCACAAGCGGUGGGA